GGUAUAGCUCAGUGGUAGAGUGCAUGCUUAGCAUGCACAAGUUCCUGGGUUCAAUCCCCAGUGCC
rnacentral:tRNA from 1 species